rnacentral:rRNA from 1 species
GACGAACGCUGGCGGCGUGCUUAACACAUGCAAGUCGAACGGAAAGGCCCUGCUUUUGUGAGGUGCUCGAGUGGCGAACGGGUGAGUAACACGUGAGUAACCUGCCCUUGACUUUGGGAUAACUUCAGGAAACUGGGGCUAAUACCGGAUAGGAGCUCCUGCUGCAUGGUGGGGGUUGGAAAGUUUCGGCGGUUGGGGAUGGACUCGCGGCUUAUCAGCUUGUUGGUGGGGUAGUGGCUUACCAAGGCUUUGACGGGUAGCCGGCCUGAGAGGGUGACCGGCCACAUUGGGACUGAGAUACGGCCCAGACUCCUACGGGAGGCAGCAGUGGGGAAUAUUGCACAAUGGGCGGAAGCCUGAUGCAGCAACGCCGCGUGCGGGAUGACGGCAUUCGGGUUGUAAACCGCUUUCGCCUGUGACGAAGCGUGAGUGACGGUAAUGGGUAAAGAAGCACCGGCUAACUACGUG